rnacentral:rRNA from 1 species
UGGGGAAUAUUGCACAAUGGGCGCAAGCCUGAUGCAGCAACGCCGCGUGAACGAUGAAGGUCUUCGGAUCGUAAAGUUCUGUUGCAGGGGAAGAUAAUGACGGUACCCUGUGAGGAAGCCCCGGCUAACUACGUGCCAGCAGCCGCGGUAAUACGUAGGGGGCUAACGUUAUCCGGAUUUACUGGGCGUAAAGGGUGCGUAGGUGGUCUUUCAAGUCGGUGGUUAAAGGCUACGGCUCAACCGUAGUUAGCCUCCGAAACUGGAAGACUUGAGUGCAGGAGAGGAAAGUGGAAUUCCCAGUGUAGCGGUGAAAUGCGUAGAUAUUGGGAGGAACACCAGUAGCGAAGGCGGCUUUCUGGACUGCAACUGACACUGAGGCACGAAAGCGUGGGUAGCAAACAGG